rnacentral:rRNA from 1 species
AACGAACGCUGGCGGCGUGCCUAACACAUGCAAGUCGAGCGAGAAAGCCCGCAAGGGUGAGUAAAGCGGCGCACGGGUGCGUAACACGUGGGUAAUCUGCCCUGAAGUCCGGAAUAACUCGACGAAAGGCGUGCUAAUGCCGGAUAAGACCACGGGAACCUCGGUUCCUGCGGGAAAAGGUGGCCUCUGUACACAAGCUAUCACUUCAGGAUGAGCCCGCGGCCCAUCAGCUAGUUGGCGGGGUAAUGGCCCACCAAGGCUACGACGGGUAGCUGUUCUAAGAGGACGAUCAGCCACACUGGAACUGAGACACGGUCCAGACUCCUACGGGAGGCAGCAGUGGGGAAUCUUGCGCAAUGGGCGAAAGCCUGACGCAGCAACGCCGCGUGUGUGAUGAGGGUCUUCGGAUCGUAAAGCACUGUCGGGAGGGACGAAUAGGGCGCAGGCUAACAUCCGGCGCUGAUGACGGUACCUCCAAAGGAAGCACCGGCUAACUCUGUGCCAGCCGCCGCCGUAAGAC